rnacentral:rRNA from 1 species
AGAGUUUGAUCAUGGCUCAGAACGAACGCUGGCGGCAUGCCUAACACAUGCAAGUCGAACGCGAUCUUCGGAUCGAGUGGCGCACGGGUGAGUAACGCGUGGGAACCUGCCCCGAGGUGGGGGAUAACCGAUGGAAACGUCGGCUAAUACCGCAUGAGACCUGAGGGUGAAAGAUUUAUCGCCUUGGGAGGGGCCCGCGUCGGAUUAGCUAGUUGGUGGGGUAACGGCCUACCAAGGCGAUGAUCCGUAGCUGGUCUGAGAGGAUGAUCAGCCACACUGGGACUGAGACACGGCCCAGACUCCUACGGGAGGCAGCAGUGGGGAAUAUUGGACAAUGGGGGCAACCCUGAUCCAGCAAUGCCGCGUGAGUGAUGAAGGCCUUAGGGUUGUAAAGCUCUUUCGGCGGGGACGAUGAUGACGGUACCCGCAGAAGAAGCCCCGGCUAACUUCGUGCCAGCAGCCGCGGUAAUACGAAGGGGGCAAGCGUUGUUCGGAAUUACUGGGCGUAAAGGGCGCGCAGGCGGCCAAUCAAGUCAGAUGUGAAAGCCCCGGGCUCAACCUGGGAAUAGCAUUUGGGACUGGUUGGCUAGAGAUCGGGAGAGGAGAGUGGAAUUCCCAGUGUAGAGGUGAAAUUCGUAGAUAUUGGGAAGAACACCGGUGGCGAAGGCGGCUCUCUGGACCGAUACUGACGCUGAGGCGCGAAAGCGUGGGGAGCAAACAGGAUUAGAUACCCUAGUAGUCC